rnacentral:sRNA from 1 species
CUGGAUACUUUUCAUACAAAACACAUGAACAGUAAAGCGGAACACUUUCAAAGCGCAGAAAAUGUGCGGCUUCUUGCGCUUCGUCAGUUUACUUACUACAAACAGUGGGUACUAUGUACGCCGGUCAUUUUCUCAUUUUCGAGAGA